rnacentral:lncRNA from 1 species
GGGUUGGAAAAAAUCUGCGGAUUUUUUUUGUGCGGGUAUCCGGCGGGUAACAGGACAGGUACGAGUACAGUUUUUUACAUGUGGGUCGGGUUCGGGUAUCACACUAUCCAUGCCCGACCCGACCCGUUGCGAUCCAUAUGCACAGUUGUGAAUUUGAAUGUGAAGAUUGCAUGGCUGCCAUUUGUAUCCAAAAACCAUGAAUCAGAUACUGUCCUAACAGUCCCUAAUAUAAUAAUAACAUUUUUUCUGUUUGCAUGUAUGAUGAGUUCUGCACACCUUAAAAGAAGUGUCAUAUUUGCCUGGGCUGUUGAAUCUAACCAUCAAUCUGACAUUCAUUGAUAAAAUGACAAUGAAUUUGUUCUACCAAUCAAACUCACUGUAAUUAAAACAGCUUUAAUCUUUU